AGUGAACGCUGGCGGUAGGCCUAACACAUGCAAGUCGAACGGCAGCACAGUAAGAGCUUGCUCUUACGGGUGGCGAGUGGCGGACGGGUGAGGAAUACAUCGGAAUCUACUUUUUCGUGGGGGAUAACGUAGGGAAACUUACGCUAAUACCGCAUACGACCUACGGGUGAAAGCAGGGGACCUUCGGACCUUGCGCGAUUGAAUGAGCCGAUGUCGGAUUAGCUAGUUGGCGGGGUAAAGGCCCACCAAGGCGACGAUCCGUAGCUGGUCUGAGAGGAUGAUCAGCCACACUGGAACUGAGACACGGUCCAGACUCCUACGGGAGGCAGCAGUGGGGAAUAUUGGACAAUGGGCGCAAGCCUGAUCCAGCCAUACCGCGUGGGUGAAGAAGGCCUUCGGGUUGUAAAGCCCUUUUGUUGGGAAAGAAAAGCAGCAGAUUAAUACCCCGCUGUUCUGACGGUACCCAAAGAAUAAGCACCGGCUAACUUCGUG
rnacentral:rRNA from 1 species